CUACGGGAGGCAGCAGUGAGGAAUUUUGCGCAAUGGGGGAAACCCUGACGCAGCGACGCCGCGUGGAGGAUGACGGCCUUCGGGUUGUAAACUCCUGUCAGAGGUGAAGAAUCCCCGCAAGGGGUUGACGGUAACCUCAAAGGAAGCCCCGGCUAACUACGUGCCAGCAGCCGCGGUAAUACGUAGGGGGCAAACGUUACUCGGAAUUACUGGGCGUAAAGGGUGUGUAGGCGGCUGAGUAAGUCAAAGAUGAAAUCCCAUGGCUUAACUGUGGAAUUGUCUUUGAAACUGCUCGGCUUGAGGAUAGUCGAGGAGAAUGGAAUUCCCGGUGGAGCGGUGAAAUGCGUAGAUAUCGGGAGGAACACCCGAGGCGUAAGCGAUUCUCUAUCCUAUUCCUGACGCUGAAACACGAAAGCUAGGGGAGCGAACGGGAUUAGAUACCCCGGUAGUCCUAGCUAUAAACGAUGGACACUAGAUAUUCCUGCGUUUAUGUGGGAGUGUCGAAGCUAACGCGCUAAGUGUCCCGCCUGGGGAGUACGGUCGCAAGGCUGAAACUUAAAGGAAUUGAC
rnacentral:rRNA from 1 species